UUUACUAUUUCAUAGCAAGCAUCACUCUUUCUCCUUGCCUUUCGGCUCUACCAUGUAAAGUGUCAGUCACUUGAUGUUAAAAGCAGAUCAUUGCAAGUUCAAGAAGAGUCACCUGUAUUUCGGUGGGACCUCCCCAGGGUGUGCGUGUGUCUCUGCGUGAUUGGAAAGAGCAAAGGGAUCGGUGUUAGAGCUCCUGGUAGGUGCUCGGCAUUGACUAAGUGCAGUCAAAACACCCGUGAGGGGAGGGUAGUUCUCCGGAGCUCCUGGACACUUCAAGCUGCUAAGGCGCAGCUUUGACCAAGGAAUUGCCUUUGGAAAAAAAGUAUUUUCUUUAAAAAACAAACAAACAAACAAACAAACAAGCAAACUUCCUUGAGAAGGAAUUGCAAAUCUUACAGGAAUAUGGGGCCCUGCUUGGCUCCAUUACACUGACAAGGGUGCAGACACCUAGAACUCGGGUUCCACAGUAGGUCGAGCUCCUCAGCUCAUUUUUCUGCGACUUUCCCUCCGCACCCGCAGGCCCGCAGGAGGCCACCCACCCCCUCGGGGCCCAAGAGGCAGGAGGCGGGAGUGGGGCGUCUCAGGACACAGCACGGCUCUUGCCAUCCUUUCGGUCUGACCAAGAAAAAGGAAGGAGGAGAAGGAAGAGAGGAGAGGGAAAGCGGAGAGAGGGAGAGGAAGACAGGAAGGAGGGCAAGAGAGAGAGAGAGAGUGGGGAGGGGGUGAAAGACAGGAAGGAGGGCAAGAGAAGGGGGGGUGAUGAAAGGCAGGAAAGCAAAGGAAAGAAAGCAAGAAAAUAACCCAAAAAAAGGGGGGGGGGGCAGGGAGCGAGAAAACAUAAGGGAAAAAAACCAGAGAGAGAGCCAGGGAGCUUGGCCGGAGGGAGGAAGGAGCGAGGAGGAGCUGGAGGAGCCCGUGCGGACGGAGAGCAUCGUUUGCAGCCCAGCCACAGCCUCCAUGCGAACCCGCCUCUCCUGCUUCCUGUGCCUCAGUUUCCAUCACACGCACUGUGUUACUAGGGCACCUCCGGAGACUUGCGGGAAUGCCAAAGCGCUGAAGCGCCCUGAAGAUGGAAAUUGCUUUGGUUUCUAGACUUCCCUUGAACAGAACUGUGGUGCUGUAGGUGCUCUGAUUUGACUCUAUCAGAAAGUGAUGCCUGUGCUCAACCGGUGUUAAGAAUUGCUGCUUUCUGUUGCUUUGAAACGCAGUUUCUACCUAAGCAAAAGGAAUCGUGUGUUCUUUUGGUGAUGUCGUCCAGCUGAAGUUCACAGAUUGCUUGUUGGGUCAGAUCUCUUAAUCCUCUGUCCUCUCCUCUCCUGUGGAAGCGUCUGCUUUUUGGGG
rnacentral:lncRNA from 12 species